rnacentral:lncRNA from 1 species
UGCCCGUGUUUCACUUCUCGUUUCUUUUCAUUUCCUUUUGUCUGUAGGUGACAUUUGCGAUCACCAUGUGGUGAGCAGAGGAAACUCCCCUCUCCUCCACCCUCCUGUCAGGAGCCUUCCCUCGGGGAACAGAGGUCUCUCAAAACGGUGGGGGUUACCUUUCCCACCCCCGCUAUCUCCUGUCUCGCAGGAAUUAGGGAAUCAAAGGCUUCUUCUCCAACAACGGCUUUACUACAGCCAACGUAGAUGGACAUUGCCACAGCUGAACUCGGAUGCUCAUAGAUGGGGUGACCACACGUUUCUGUGGUCACACUUGAGUGCAAACGAUCUGUAGCCCUCACCCAGGAACAGAGAAGAAAGGUUCAUCGGACUGAAAGAGCUAAGCUAAGAAACUCUUAGUUACACUCUUUGCAGGACCAGGGUUUCCCUCUCGUUCCUUAAACGAGUUCUUUCACUUCUGAUGGGUGGAAGACAAGGGAAGCCUCUUGUUGUGUCUUGGGUACCACUCCUGCAAAAUGGAAUGAACACUGUUGAACUGAGCAAUACUAAAUGGUUAUUACACAGUGCAGAUCUGGACUCCUGUCUGCAUCUAUGUCGAGGAGUGCAGCUAUCUCUCUGUUUUUACAGCAGGUCUGGGCAGCUUCGUUUGAAGCAUGCAGUCUGGAGGUCAUAUCUCUUCCCUCCACUGAAUUCAAAAGGAUCUCAUGCAGCACCUAACCACUUCAGGUGCAGUGUCUUCUCCCAUAAUAUGAUGAAAAAGAGUUGGAGUUCAUAG